GAGUUUGAUCGUGGCUCAGGAUGAACGCUGGCGGCGUGCUUAACACAUGCAAGUCGAACGAAGCACUGAAAGCAGAUUACUUCGGUUUGAAGCUUUCUUUGACUGAGUGGCGGACGGGUGAGUAACGCGUGGGGUAACCUGCCUCAUACAGGGGGAUAACAGUUAGAAAUGACUGCUAAUACCGCAUAAGCGCACGGUUUCGCAUGGAACAGUGUGAAAAACUCCGGUGGUAUGGGAUGGACCCGCGUCUGAUUAGCUGGUUGGCGGGGUAACGGCCCACCAAGGCGACGAUCAGUAGCCGGCCUGAGAGGGUGAACGGCCACAUUGGGACUGAGACACGGCCCAAACUCCUACGGGAGGCAGCAGUGGGGAAUAUUGCACAAUGGGGGAAACCCGUGAUGCAGCGACGCCGCGUGAAGGAAGAAGUAUUUCGGUAUGUAAACUUCUAUCAGCAGGGAAGAAAAUGACGGUACCUGACUAAGAAGCCCCGGCUAACUACGUGCCAGCAGCCGCGGU
rnacentral:rRNA from 1 species